UUUAGAGUCUAACAAUUUAACUCAUAUCUUAGUCCUAAGAACGUGGGAAACCAAGAACUUUGAGAAUCAUUUCACGUCUUUGGCUUGAAGCCAAGAACCUUGGAAUAGAAAACGUUUUCAUCCAAAAUCUUUAGCCAACCUUAUAAUUAAAAUUUCAAAGUUCAACUAAUAGAUUAAACCCAUUUUUGUCCUAGUUCAAAAACGUUCAAAGCAGAACAAAUUCGUCAAGAAAUUCAAGUGCAAUUUCGUUCAUAUUUUGCAGAAGCAGAUUCGUUCAAAUAAUUUCAGGGACAGGUAUGUUAAGGCCCUCCCUUCUAUCUUUUGGCAUGGUCUAAAUUAUACUGAAGAAAUGAGCAAAUACACAAUUUUUAUAAAUUACUCUAUUUAUAGAAAUAGUGGGGAUGUCUAUUUUCUUGAUUCCCCAUGAGAAUUAUUAUUAUCUUGUGUUCAUGGGUCUCAGAAUAAUAAGCAGUUGGAAAAUUUUAUCCGUAAGGAAUAUCGAGAUUAUUAUGUAUUUUUCAUGCAUUCCACUCAUUUAUACAUGUGCAUUGACCCAUGACCAGAUGACGUUAUAUACGCGUAUAUAUGUAAAUAUAUGUAUAUGGGACAUGGAAAAUGGUUACGGCGUUAUAUACGCACCACCACCUGAUCAGCUGGUAUAUGACGAUGAUGUUGCCCACAAUGGUUGAAAUAUGAUUCAAACGGUGUUAUAUACGCGUAUAUAUGUAUGUAUAUGUAUAUGGGAUAUGGGAAGAUGUUAUGGCAUUAUAUACGCACCACCACCUGAUCAGCUGAUAUAUGUUGAUUAUGUUAUCCACAAUGGCUGAGGCGAUAUGAUGGGAUGCCUUCAGUGGCUUGAUGAUAUUAUGUACACACACACCUAUGUAUGUCACGACAUUUAUACACAUGUGCAUGAUAUUAUAAAUGUUUCAAAAUUUGCAGAGUUAUUCAAAUUUAAAGGUAUUUAUAUAUUCCAUGUUUCAUCAAUGUCUUUUACGUGCUUAUUUUCAUGCCUUACAUACUCAGUACAGUUUCAUGCCCGCAGGUGCAGGUAGGAAAGUUGUUGAUCCCCCUUCUUAGGAUUCUUGAUCAGUGAGAGUUGGCGUGCUCCAUUUGAUCUGGAGCUGCUUUUUGUUUUGG
rnacentral:lncRNA from 1 species